rnacentral:miRNA from 1 species
UCUGCAUCAUCCUCCACUUCUAGGGG